AGCGCAGCCAAGCAACAACAACAACAAAAAAAGGCGAGGAGGUAGACCCACUUGAGAUGGUUCUGUUGCGGAGAGUCUCUGAAAUCAGAAAGCGCCAGUCCGCAAAAACGAGGAAACCCGACGUGUCCGGCGGAAGGAACUGCCAGUACAAAGGCCCUGAGGCGAGAAAGAGAUUGGUCACUGAAAGAACUCAAAGAAGUCCUGUGUGGCUGGAGCGUAGCUGCGGGUAGUGCUGGCAGGUGAAGACAGAAGCAAACAGGGCCCAGGUCAGGUCCGGUUGGGCCUCGGGAGGGCCUCCGUGUGGAGUCUGCACUUCAUUCUAAGUGUAUACCUAACCCAUCGCCACGAUUUCCCCUCCUUCACACUACCCUGCUACGUCUCCUUAUUAGGCGUAAUAAAAUUAUGUGGCUUUGUAAGAAA
rnacentral:antisense_RNA from 1 species